rnacentral:tRNA from 1 species
GGAGAGAUGCCGGAGUGGACGAACGGGACCGCCUCGAAAGCGGUUACCUCGCUAAAAGCGGGGUCGGAGGUUCGAAUCCUCCUCUCUCCG